rnacentral:rRNA from 1 species
AGGACGAACGCUGGCGGCGUGCUUAACACAUGCAAGUCGAACGGAAAGGCCCUGCUUUGUGGGGGUGCUCGAGUGGCGAACGGGUGAGUAACACGUGAGUAACCUGCCCUUGACUUUGGGAUAACUUCAGGAAACUGGGGCUAAUACCGGAUAGGAGCUCCUGCUGCAUGGUGGGGGUUGGAAAGUUUCGGCGGUUGGGGAUGGACUCGCGGCUUAUCAGCUUGUUGGUGGGGUAGUGGCUUACCAAGGCUUUGACGGGUAGCCGGCCUGAGAGGGUGACCGGCCACAUUGGGACUGAGAUACGGCCCAGACUCCUACGGGAGGCAGCAGUGGGGAAUAUUGCACAAUGGGCGGAAGCCUGAUGCAAGCAACGCCGCGUGCGGGAUGACGGCCUUCGGGUUGUAAACCGCUUUCGCCUGUGACGAAGCGUGAGUGACGGUAAUGGGUAAAGAAGCACCGGCUAACUACGUGCCAGCCGCAGC